UCCUACUGAGUACCACAUUCUACCUCUUCCAGCCAGAUCACUUUUCUGGACAACCUAGGCUAUGAUUUGAGCUAAGAGCCUUCCAAGACCUCUGUUAUGGAUCCUCUUCUCUAGGCUUCAGACUCUAAUACAGAACUGCGGCUGAUACAUUAUAAGCUUGAGUGUUCCUCAUCUCAACAGCCUGUGUUAAGAGGCAGUGUGACCAGCAUCUUUCUGCUCUGCUGUCAUGUCAUCCCUUCCAUGUCUGACCCCAUGCCUUUCACACCAUGAUAGACUUUAUACUGUCAUAAUGUGAAGUAAGUCAAGAUAAGCUCACCCCAACACCCCAAGCUGGGUUUUGUUAUGGCAAUUUAUCAUAGUAAAAAGAAUAGAAACUGAUGGAAAUGGUAAGAAUAUCUGAGCUGCUGUUAUUCAACUCAGAACAACGUAUAAUUAAUUAUUAAAAUUCUGAGUUACAGACUUUUAAAAUUAAUAUUCUGUUUUAAAAUG